AGUCCUCUAGAAAAGCCCAUCAUUUCUUAGGGCUUCAGAGUUUCAGCUUCUCUGACUUUGGAGUCUCCUCUUUGGUGAAAGGACUCAGCCAAACAUGAAGAUCCUUGCAUUUGCCUUUAUCUUGGCUCUCUUGGUUGCCAUGAUUGGAGCUGAUUCAUCAUCUGAAGAGAGACGUCAUUAUCGGCGUAGAGGAGAAUACCAUAGAAGGGAUGACCGAUCUCUGCCAAAUCAAGGAAAUCCAGCCUAUCCUCCAUUUCCAAAAAAUAACCGCAAUCCUUUUCCAAAUCCAAACCCAAAUCCUUAGAAUGCUGCUCAGCACCACAGGACAGGAUUACAGAGGCUUGGCGGAAAGUCGGAUUUGCUCCGUGCUCAGGAUGAUUCUUCCUACUCAAAAACCCUUUACCCAACUUGCAACAUCAUAUUAGCCCUCAUCUAAAGAAUACAGCCGAAAUGCUUUUAAAAAAAUUUUUUAUAAAAUAAUUCAAAAAAGCAGAGUAUUAUCUGGGUUCUCUUAUGUAUGAUAUUGCAAUUUAAAAAUAAUUAGACCCAUAAAUAAUUUUCCAAAACCAAAGAAAUUUCAAUCAAAUACUGUUACAUGAACAACACACCUGAGAUCGAUGAUCAAUAUUUUAAACAGUAGUAAUAAUAUUCUCUGAACUAUUUGAUUUUCUAUACUUUGUUCUCUGUAUUAAUUGUACUAUGAAAAUCAAAAAAAAAAAAAAAAAAGACUUGCCCUGCAUAAUAAAGUGAUCUAUCAGCAUGUCCUGAA